rnacentral:lncRNA from 10 species
ACCCCGGGCGCUCGGGCCGCUGUGGCCGGAGCCCUAGGUCCUCGCGGGCUGCCCUGAGCAGAGUCCAGCGCCGGCGCUUCCCCUUUUUUUCGGCUGCCGCGCCCACUGGUGGGGGGGUGGCACGGUCCCAGGUUCGCUCCCUGCCGCUUGGGACCCGCCCUCAGAUCGGGAUCCGCGCCCAGGGGCCGACCUCCGGGUGCCGGCUCUGGGUGGACGGCCGAGCGGUCUCGCCGGGCCCUCCCGCCCGUCCCCUGGGAGCCAGGCCGCGCGGAGUCCGAGCUGGGGCGGGCAGCAGCCUUGGGUGGAGACGGUCGCCGAGAUCAGGCUGCCCCUCGUGCCAGAGGACCCCGGGUCGGGGGCGUCCCGCGCUGUGCGCUCCAGCCGGGCCCAAGGGAGGCCGGGGAGGGGCAGCCACGCCGUGGGAAAGGCCAAGUGGCAGCGGGAUCUUCUCUGUGUAUUUCCCGAGGAAUUUGUGGUUCCUUUUUCCCGGAUGCGCUGGGGCACCAGGGUCAGUCCUGUGUGAGCAUCUCGACCUGCACAAGCCUGCUGGGAAACAGAACUGAGGCACUGGAAGUGGGUUCUGGGGAACGAAGAGCUUCUCUUUUUUGCCUGCCCUGACACUCCCAUCUUCAGAAAGUGUGCAGAGGUCAGAGGAGAGCCGCCGUUCCAGCUUCCGGGAUCACCGAGGGGAGGCUGGAGAGAAUGGACUGGCACCUGGGUCUCUUCAAGGACAGGCCUAGGUUAGCCCCCUUCUCGCCGAGGUCGGAAGAAUUAAGAGGGGUGUCACUGGAAGGGGCGUCAGUGGACACCAGUUUGAGGUCGUUGAGGGGUUGAAAGGUAGCAUUGGGGCCUGGAUGUGUGCCUGAGUCUCUGAAGGGUCAACAGGGGCAUGAUGUCAGGUGGUCAAUUUAAUUCACUAGGGGCUAUCAGAGUAUUUAAGGGCACACUUUCUUAAAGGUCCCGGUAGGAAGUGGUUUUGGCUUUGCUAUCGCUGCCCCAGCUGCUUAACUCAGCUGUGGCAGCAUGAAAGCAGACAAUAUAGUGUGGCUGUGUCCCAAAGAAACCAUUUAUGGACAAAGAAAUCAGAAUUUCAUGUAAUGUUCAUGUGUCAUGAAUUAUUCUAGUGUGUGUGUGUGGCCUACAGGCUGUCGUUUGCUGACCUUGGCUGAAGUGAUGGAGCGAUCAAAGUGGCUCUGUGGGGAUCAGCAGCUAGGGCUGUUUGAUUUAUCGUGGGGUCCGCAGGGGUCACUGUGAGAUUCAUGUUCAUCAUUUAUCAGUUUCAUCUUUGAGCAUUCUCAGGGAGGUAAUUGUUUAGGAUGGUGGUG